rnacentral:rRNA from 1 species
UACGAAGGGGGCUAGCGUUGCUCGGAAUUACUGGGCGUAAAGGGCGCGUAGGCGGAUACUUAAGUUAGAGGUGAAAGCCCAGGGCUCAACCCUGGAAUAGCCUUUAAUACUGGGUAUCUUGAGUUCGGGAGAGGUGAGUGGAACUCCGAGUGUAGAGGUGAAAUUCGUAGAUAUUCGGAAGAACACCAGUGGCGAAGGCGGCUAACUGGCCCAUUACUGACGCUGAGGCUCGAAAGC